rnacentral:rRNA from 1 species
UACGUAGGGUGCGAGCGUUAAUCGGAAUUACUGGGCGUAAAGCGUGCGCAGGCGGUUCGUUGUGUCGGUGGUGAAAGCCCCGGGCUUAACCUGGGAAUGGCCAUGGAAACUGGCGAACUGGAGUGUGGCAGAGGGGGGUGGAAUUCCGCGUGUAGCAGUGAAAUGCGUAGAGAUGCGGAGGAACACCGAUGACGAAGGCAGCCCCCUGGACGAAUACUGACGCUGAGACUCGAAAGCGUGGGGAGCAAACAGG